CAACUGUGGCCCUUCCCAUCUGUCUGCUCACCAAAGACAUGGAGAUCUGGGUUUCCCUUAGCACAGAGCAAAUCAGCCAAAGAGCCUGAGGCCUGGGUAGCCUGGGGAAGAGAAGCGGUCUUAAGGGGAAGAAUUUCGAUCAAGUAAUCCUGGAGUAUUGAGCCUGGGCUACCUUCUCCUGCCACAGAUACUCUAUCCCAUUUGCUGUCAUCCAACGACUAACACCGUUUUCACUUCAGAACGUCAAGCCUUUUCUGUUCUCUUCAUGGCCUCCUCCCAUUAAAGCUGAAAGUAUCUGCUAUCAGUCAUUUGUCCUAACUGAGUGGAUACAUUUGCAAAGUGGAAUCCUCCAGGUGCCUUUAAGGAGUUUACAGUCUAGUAGGUGCUUGCAUAUGUAUGGAGGGG
rnacentral:lncRNA from 1 species